rnacentral:lncRNA from 1 species
CGCUGAGAAAUCGCGCUACUUUACAGCAAGAUCUUGGAAAGAACAGGGACCCUGCUAUCCCACACAUUGUACUAAUAUUAGUUAUCUAUCAGUAGCCCUCCCCCUAUGAGAGGUGAUGGAUUUACCCUGUUGCCUGGAGACCAGACUCAAACAGAGACCCAGAGAGAGCACCCAGGUGCUGGCUCCGGAGGGGUUAAGAAUGAGUCCUGGAGCGGAUAACUCCUGGAGUGGAUAACAGAGCCGAGUAACCCCAGCAAAGUAAAGCCUCAGCUCGAGCUGGAGGGAGACGACAGGAAGAAGAAGGCAAUGUCUGUGGACCCCCUAUCCAGUCUCCAGAUAUGUUGAUUUUUCCAAAAUGGUGGCAUUCCAUGAUUCACAAGCAUGUAGCAUCACCCCCAAAUAAGAAAACAAAAAUCUCAAAAAAAAGUGUUAAAAAAGACUUUGUGUACAGUCUCCGUCAGUGCUGCUGUCACUAAAGCUCACUAUCACCUGUUGAAGUAGCCAAGUGCUUUGUGGGGAUAUUUGGAAUUGAACGCAUUUUCACUGAAAUUUCUAACGUAAAUCAACUAUUCUGAGAAACUAAAUCCAUAAGUAUGUACUGGUCUUUUGCAUUGAAAGGCAAACAUGUUUUGCCACUCAGUUCACUGUACUUUUAUGUCUGUAUCUUUAUAUACCCAAAUCUGUAGAUAAGGCCAAAUGAAGAACAUCUAAUUUAAGAAUCUCUUUCCUAAGUCAAGUCACUCGUCUUUCUUGUUAAUUUAUGCAGUCUCUAAUUAUAAAUGAUUUUUCCAGUGAACGGAUGAACCACAGUUUGUGCCUAAAAAAAUAAAUAAACCUGCCGAAUGCUGCUAAUACUAAAA